rnacentral:rRNA from 1 species
CCUACGGGUGGCAGCAGUGAGGAAUAUUGGUCAAUGGGCGAGAGCCUGAACCAGCCAAGUCGCGUGAAGGAUGAAGGAUCUAUGGUUUGUAAACUUCUUUUAUAUGGGAAUAAAAUGUUCCACGUGUGGGAUUUUGUAUGUACCAUAUGAAUAAGGAUCGGCUAACUCCGUGCCAGCAGCCGCGGUAAUACGGAGGAUCCGAGCGUUAUCCGGAUUUAUUGGGUUUAAAGGGAGCGUAGGUGGAUUGUUAAGUCAGUUGUGAAAGUUUGCGGCUCAACCGUAAAAUUGCAGUUGAAACUGGCAGUCUUGAGUACAGUAGAGGUGGGCGGAAUUCGUGGUGUAGCGGUGAAAUGCUUAGAUAUCACGAAGAACUCCGAUUGCGAAGGCAGCUCACUGGACUGCAACUGACACUGAGGCUCGAAAGUGUGGGUAUCAAACAGGAUUAGAUACCCUGGUAGUC